rnacentral:rRNA from 1 species
GACGAACGCUGGCGGCGUGCUUAACACAUGCAAGUCGAACGGUGAAGCGCCUUCCUUUUUGGUGGGUGUGGAUGAGUGGCGAACGGGUGAGUAACACGUGAGUAACCAGCCCCCUUCUUCUGGAUAACCGCAUGAAAGUGUGGCUAAUACGGGAUAUUCUGGGUCUGUCGCAUGAUGGGUCUGGGAAAGAUAUUGUUUCGGUGGGGGAUGGGCUCGCGGCCUAUCAGCUUGUUGGUGGGGUGAUGGCCUACCAAGGCGGUGACGGGUAGCCGGCCUGAGAGGGUGGACGGUCACACUGGGACUGAGACACGGCCCAGACUCCUACGGGAGGCAGCAGUGGGGAAUAUUGCACAAUGGGCGCAAGCCUGAUGCAGCGACGCCGCGUGAGGGAUGGAGGCCUUCGGGUUGUGAACCUCUUUCGCCAGUGAAGCAGGCCUGCCUCGUUUGUGGGUGGGUUGACGGUAGCUGGAUAAGAAGCGCCGGCUAACUACGUG